rnacentral:rRNA from 1 species
CAAUAGCGUAUAUUAAAGUUGUUGCAGUUAAAAAGCUCGUAGUUGGAUUUCUGGUAGGAGUGACCGUUCCGAACUUGAUUGUUCGUGUAUUGUGUUUUCUCCAGCCAUCCUUGUGGAGAACUUUUCUUGCAUUAAUUUGUAGGGAUUGGGACCCGCAUCGUUUACUGUGAAAAAAUUAGAGUGUUUAAAGCAGGCAAUCGCUUGAAUACAUUAGCAUGGAAUAAUAAGAUAGGACUUUGGUACUAUUUUGUUGGUUUGCAUACCAAAUUAAUGAUCAACAGGAACAGUUUGAGGAUAUUCGUAUGAACAUGUCAGAGGUGAAAUUCUUGGAUUUUGAUCAGACGAACUACUGCGAAAGCAUUGAUCAAGGAUGUUUUCAUUAA